CGCCGGAGAGCGCGGGCGGCUGCGCUCCCCGCCCCCUCACACACACCCGGUAGUGCUGAACGGAGCGGGCCCGGCUGCCCGGCUGGCGGCUCCGGCAGCUCCCCCGGCUCUCGGGAGCGCCUCCCGAAGCGGCCCGCAGGCCACAAACAGCGCUUCUACUUACAGAGAACCUCUGCGGAGGUGAGCUAUCUACAGUAGUGACUCCACAGCCCCCUCCAAACAACCUGCACCCCCACAAAACCUCUCCAGGGUGAGGAAUAUCAGCCUUCUGGGUGACUGUCACCCCCUGCAGUGACACAGGACUGUUGCCUGUGCCCGUCAGACACAAACCUGCUCCCGUUGUCUCUGUAACUCCUGUCCAGGCCUUGGAAGAGCACGCCAGCCCUCCCCAGACUCAGCAGGGCCAGCUGCGGCAGCUUGGUUCAACCUCUACAGCACCUACACUGAGCAGAGCGGAUCAGGCAAGUGAUUUUGACUUGGUUUGGGUUCUCAAGGAGUAGAAGCAGCUAAAGAACAGCAACACUUAAAGAAGGAGACAUGCUAAAAGGUCUUCUGUGCUGGAAAAAAAAUGGUCUGUUUUCAAAUUGUAAUACUUAGACAGCAAAACAUAUCACUUUCACACACAAACCAUACCAUGUGUAAAGCUAGUCCACUGUUUCCUAGACAAUGAGUCUUCUGAGAUGACUGUACAGUCAACAAAAUUAAAUCCCAACCUCCAUUCCAGGAAGAAAACAAAGUUGUUAUUGCAGAUAAAUUUCAUUUGAGAAUUUAGUAAUGCAAACAACCAGAUAAUGCCAUCAUGUUCUAUUUGAGCAAAACAAACCAAAACAAAACUGUUGGCUUCCUUGACAAAAUGGACAUAUCUUGCAUAAGUGUUUCCAAGUCAGAGUGUUUUUCUAUGUUAUUUUUAUUGCUAGGUUAAAUCUGACAGUUGCACUUAGUAAUCAUUAUGGAGUCAAUGUGAGCUGUUCUGAAGUGUUACAAUAAUUUUUAAAUUUUUUUUUCAAUAUCUCAUGCAAACAACUCCAGACAUACACUUGGACUUUCAGCAAAAUUUUGCUCCAAAAAUCCUCAGGUAAAAGAAGGGCAAUUUUAAGGCCAUAAUUAAAGUUACAUUUUAAUGUUUACAUCCCAACAGCAAAAUGAAACCUCGAUUAUAUAUUAUUCCAAGAUGAAAAAAUUAUAAUUAAUUUUAAUAAAAUUUGGUACCUCUUACUUUUAUUCCCACUGUACAAUUUGGGAUGAUAUUCUUAAAUCUGAUGCAUAAAAAUGAGGGAUUGCAGAAAUUACGUUAGACAACUAAUGAAUUAGGCAGUUUAUAUUGCAGAAAGGAAUUGCAUGUGGGGAAGCAGGCGUACAAAGCAUUCUUUGUCAGAGUGAGCGCCUUACAGCUUCGGAAGCUGUGGUUUAGCAUUUUGCUGAAUGAGCUGGUAGGAAAGACCCACCCCUAUUCCUCAUUUCCUGGCCUUCCCAUGGACAACCCAAGUCCCAGGAAGUGUGUGCAAUGAAAUACCCCUUACAGAUCUGCAGAAGCCUGUUGUAUGACACCCAGUCUGAGCCUCUGGAGAAUCCUUUCUAGUAUAAAGUAACACAUACAGGUGUGCAGCAUAUAUAUAAUAUGCCAUUACUGCAAACAAAAAGAAGGAAACAACUAAGCAGUAGAUUUUUUUUCUUUUUUUCUUCAAUAACUGUUGCAGUUCCUCAUUAAUCUCUGAGCUUCAUGAACUUUCAUUAUAUAUGUUUGUCAUUUUACUAUUAUAAAGGCAAAAAAGGCAAGAGAUUAAUAAAAGUGACUCUCGGUUUAUAGCCUUUUUAACAAUUUCUGUAAAGUUUACAGAUUUUUUCAGUGAUUACCCCCUGUAACUAUGUCUUUUCAGCCCAUAGGAAUACUGACAGGGAUGUUCCUAGUGAUCAUUGUAAUAAUACAUUUUAAUGUGCUUACUAGCUGUACAUACUGAUACUAGCAUGGGUAAUAUUAAGUGAUUAAGUGAUGUCAAAGAUUGCUGGGGCAGAUAAUUAAAUAGUGGAGUUGUCUUCCACUCACCUCCAAAAAAAACCCUAUAGAUCAAAAAGAAAAAGGAGGUUAGACUUAUUCCUGCCAAAAACCGUGUUAUUACUGAGGUGGGGAUGUUACACAGUAAUAAACACGUCUGUUAUAAUCAGUUACUUUAAGAAGUUAUCCUAAACAGCACAUAGAUUACUGCACGGGACCUGCACAGCCUGGAAGAUUCUGAAUUCAUGCAGGUUGGAUCUGGCUCCAAGAUUCAAGUCAGGUUUUAGUCAUCAACUCCUUGAAAGACUUUUGAAGCAGAUAAUGUUGUUUGUCUCUGGGUGAUUAGCUACUGUCAUUCUCCCACAGAACCGCUCAGCGGCACGUAUUUGCAUUCCAACUUUGCCGUAGCAUUAGUGCUGCCUGCAAGCAUAGCUGCGAGGAGGGAACACGUUGCAUGUUCAAGUAGUCCAUGAGUCGCAGAGCAUGGAAAACCAUCAUGAAAUCCCGGUUCAAAGCUGUAAACACCAAACCAGCUAAAAGGUGUGUCUCUGGAGCUUAGAAACUGCAAGUUUUGAGAUGCUUUUGAACCUCUGUCUGGGUCGAAGAUUAAGAAAGAAAAAAGUUCUCGUUUGUCCCAAUCAGAUUCAAUGAGCUCUGCCUGCUUGCUUUCCUUGUAGCAAAAUGAAGUCACAGGUGCCGUGUGGCUGGAGAAAAAAAGGGGUUAGGAAGAUGCACUCAUGCUCAUGACACUAAAACCAAAAUUGCCAUUAAAAAUCAUAAAGGCCUGUCAUACAGACAGAAGGGACAAGAAAAUAGCCUGAGGAAUCUCCGAAAUUCUACAGAGCAGAAAAUAUCUACUGUUUCCAACUUCUCAAAAAGAACAACUUGCUUCUUGGGAAAUUGUAUAAAACUUUAUUAAAAAAUAGCAUGACAGAAAAGAUGAAAGUAGAGAAAAUUGCCAAAGAUGGGAGCAUGUGCAGAGGACAGACUGCUCCAAGAUGCAUAACAUGAAAUAGGGCAUAUACUCAAGGGAGCAUAAAUCCAGAAGCCACCUUGAGUGAAUUAAGCAGUUAGCCUUGGAUUUGCAAAAGGAAACAUUUAAAGAAGUGCCAAGAAGAAAUUAACAACUAUGUUUACCAUAGGCUGCAAUAAAGAAAGAAGGGAAAAGAACUGGGGGGAAAAGGAAAAGAAAAAAACCACCACAACAAAAAACAACAAAACCACAAAACACAACCAAAAAAAACCAAACAAAAAACCCCCCCACCAACAUCACACAAAACCCAAACAACACCACGCACACAACACCAAAAAACACCCAAACAAAAUAACCCAGCAAUUAAACCUUCAAAAAAAUUCUAUAACAGUAGCUUCCAUUAUAUUCUCUGUAUGAGACGCAAAACCACCUCCAUUCUCCAAGUAAAUUCUUAAAUGUAAAGGACACCAUCAGUCACUCCAUCCCUGCCCAGCUGUACCUCAGGAGGAAUAGAGGCAAGAUGCUUGUUCAAGUCCCUUGAUCUGCAGUGGCAAGCUGUUCUUAGGUCCUUUCC